AGUGGAAUUGCUAGGUCAUAUGGUAGUUUUGUGUUUAACUUUUUGAGGAACUGCCAGACUGUUUUUAAAGUGGCUUCACCAUUUUGCAUUCCCACCAGCGAU
rnacentral:pre_miRNA from 1 species